AGCGAACGCUGGCGGCAGGCCUAACACAUGCAAGUCGAACGGACCCUUCGGGGUUAGUGGCGGACGGGUGAGUAACACGUGGGAACGUGCCUUUAGGUUCGGAAUAGCUCCUGGAAACGGGUGGUAAUGCCGAAUGUGCCCUUCGGGGGAAAGAUUUAUCGCCUUUAGAGCGGCCCGCGUCUGAUUAGCUAGUUGGUGAGGUAACGGCUCACCAAGGCGACGAUCAGUAGCUGGUCUGAGAGGAUGCCCAGCCACACUGGGACUGAGACACGGCCCAGACUCCUACGGGAGGCAGCAGUGGGGAAUCUUGCGCAAUGGGCGAAAGCCUGACGCAGCCAUGCCGCGUGAAUGAUGAAGGUCUUAGGAUUGUAAAAUUCUUUCACCGGGGACGAUAAUGACGGUACCCGGAGAAGAAGCCCCGGCUAACUUCGUG
rnacentral:rRNA from 1 species